rnacentral:rRNA from 1 species
AGAACGAACGCUGGCGGCAUGCCUAAUACAUGCAAGUCGAACGAACACUUCGGUGUUAGUGGCGCACGGGUGCGUAACGCGUGGGAAUCUGCCCUUGGGUUCGGAAUAACAGUUGGAAACGACUGCUAAUACCGGAUGAUAUCGAAAGAUCAAAGAUUUAUCGCCCAGGGAUGAGCCCGCGUAGGAUUAGCUAGUUGGUGAGGUAAAGGCUCACCAAGGCGACGAUCCUUAGCUGGUCUGAGAGGAUGAUCAGCCACACUGGGACUGAGACACGGCCCAGACUCCUACGGGAGGCAGCAGUAGGGAAUAUUGGACAAUGGGCGCAAGCCUGAUCCAGCAAUGCCGCGUGAGUGAUGAAGGCCUUAGGGUGUAAAGCUCUUUUACCCGAGAUGAUAAUGACAGUAUCGGAAGAAUAAGCCCCGGCUAACUCCGUAGCCAGCAGCCGAC